rnacentral:rRNA from 1 species
AACGAACGCUGGCGGCAGGCUUAACACAUGCAAGUCGAACGCCCCGCAAGGGGAGUGGCAGACGGGUGAGUAACGCGUGGGAACGUGCCCUUCGCUUCGGAAUAGCCCCGGGAAACUGGGAGUAAUACCGAAUACGCCGUAUUGGGAAAGAUUUAUCGGCGAAGGAUCGGCCCGCGUUAGAUUAGCUAGUUGGCGGUGUAAUGGACCACCAAGGCUACGAUCUAUAGCUGGUCUGAGAGGAUGAUCAGCCACACUGGGACUGAGACACGGCCCAGACUCCUACGGGAGGCAGCAGUGGGGAAUCUUGGACAAUGGGCGCAAGCCUGAUCCAGCCAUGCCGCGUGAGUGAAGAAGGCCUUAGGGUUGUAAAACUCUUUUGUGCGGAAGAUAAUGACGGUACCGCAAGAAUAAGCCCCGGCUAACUUCGUGCCAGCCGCCGCAGUAA